AUGACAGAAUCAGGUGGGGCGCCGCCGGCGAGUCUUAAUCGAUCUACCACAGGCGAUGAUGGGGGAGUAGCUAGCCAGAAGGCAGAUCCAGCCGACCGUGGAGCUACUCUGGUUCUUUCCAAAAAGAAAUUACCAGCAGUUCGAAAACGGAAAGGGAUGAACCAAAAAGAAACACCACAGAGUUUGCGUGAGCCUGGGAAAGAAAGUAUUGAACCGAAGGAAUCAUCUGGGGUUUGCGAUGUGAUGCUUGAAUUUGACCAAUUUGUGCAGUACCAUGAGAUGAAGAAGAAAACAGAGGAAUUUGUUAGUAGUCAAGACAAAAUUGUGAGCCAAGGAACACUCAGUAGCAGCCAGGAAGAAGACCAGCGAACUCAGAUCGAAAAAAUGAUGAGGUUCAGAUUCAUAAAGUGGUACAGUGUCCGAAACAGUUACGUUGAUGAAUUAGGUUCUACAUCGGCUGUCAUAAUUGUGAACACAGAGACUUUGAAUGGGAAAAAUCUUUGUUGUACAAGCACAGAAAGGGGGAAAGAUGAUGCAGGACAUCCUAGUGAACAGGAACAACAUUAUAGUGAGGACGCUUGUGUCCCUUCGGAUGAUUGCAUGAGCAAAAAAGAUUCUGAUGAUGAGUUAACUGAAAAUGAAGCAAAACCGGAAGAGUACUUGUUCCCUACGCCAGAUGAGAUGGAGAAUACAAGUACACCUGAAGUAGUAAAUCGAGAAAAGGAAGAAUUUGUGUGCAAUUGUGGGAAGUUUGAGAGGGAUGGUAUUCUUUGUUGCCACAUCCUUAGAUUGUUUACGCAGUUUGACAUGCUCAAGAUACCUGACCAAUAUAUUGUUCCAAGAUGGACUAGAGAAUUUAGGGAGAAGGAAUUACAGAAACACAAGUCUAGUGCCCUUGGUAUUAAUGGAGAAGACCAGUCACACAAUGCUGUCAGAUAUGCCAUCAUGAUGAAUACAGUGGGGGAGGUAUGCUCUGACAUAAGUCAUGAUUCACAUUUUUGUCAAGAGCUGAUGGAUGCAGUUAAUGCUGUUCAUAGUAAGUAUCUUCUAGGCAAGCAACAAACUGCAGAAGGGGAUAAAACUUAUGAACAAACAGUGAAUGAAGCAUGUGUUAGUGAGCCUUUGAAAGAUCCGGCUGUAAUAAACAACAAGUCAGUGAAGAAAGGGAACAGAUUGAAGAGCCGAUCCGAGAGAGAAGGGUGGAAAAAGGCUGCUGAUAAACGGAAGAAAUCUAUUUGA
rnacentral:rRNA from 1 species